GGACCACAUGACAUCAGCCGAGUCUGACUCUCAGCCGAGUGCCCCGACUCUCAGAAUGAAUCGGCCCAGAUCCACUGUGCUAGCUGGGUAGGGCUUGCCUCUGUUAUGACUUAUUCAUUCUGGAAGGGAGUGGCCUCACCUUUCCUUCAUUCUGUUUGGCUACUCUUAAUAAGAACCAACUCUACUGCUUGUCCAAGCUGUUUUGGUAACUGCAUACAGGCUACUUCCCUAAUAGCUCCAUUCUAUUUUGUGGAUAUCUUUCUGGAACCUACUUUCAUACAGGGGGCAAGGGCUUGUCUUGGAAGCACGCUUUCCACUGUGCUAAAUAUGAAUCAAAUUAGUUGAAAGCUAGAGCAAGGUGUUGGAAUAAUUAAAAAAGUAUUUCCACAUAGUAUAACCGUUACAGAGAUGAUGCUAGCUAGCAUUAAAACUGGCUAGCAUGUAUCUAGAGGUUCUUUGUUGUGUAACAGAGCAAUAGGUCUACUGCUAUAUAGGAACUUGUCAUUUGGUCGAAACUAACAUUAGUUUACAAAAGUAGUGUUUGCUCUGUGUAUUUGGUGUGUUGUUUGGUGUGCUAGUUGGCUUGCUAGCAAUGUUUUGAGGUAAACGGGCUAGGUCCCUGUGCAAUCAAGAGGGGAUGGGGGAGAAAAUUAGAUGUGCAGUUGCUUCAAUCAGGGUGUUGCAGUACCCAGAAGAGAUGACAUCAAACUGCUACAGUGAUUAAAAAGAUCUGCCAAGCACAACUCUGCCUCUGCCUCUGCCAGCCACACAACCACUGUCUCAGAGUAGUUGGGAUCUUGUUUGCAGACCUUUUCCUGGUUAACCUGAUCCUGUGGGUGGAGGGCUUCUUGGCAGCCAUCCCCUUCGGCAUGCUGGUGGCCAUCUUGGAUUUGUAGUAUGGCAUCUCCGUGCCCCUUGCCUACUUCAGCUUCAAGAAGCCUGUGAGCGUCACAUAUCAAUCAUACUGUCUGUAUGAAUAACUCGUUCAGGGGAUUGAGCAGCCAGUGCGAACUAAGAAGAUCAUUCGACAGAUCCAUGAACAUUCCUCCUUCACCAAGCCCAUGCCUGGAAUCGUCAUGGGGGGCAUCCACCCCUUCGGCUGCAUCUUCAUCCAGCUCUUCUGGGUUCCUGUUCCUGGUGUUCAUCAUUUUCCUCAUCACCUGGUCCAGGGCCACCAUCCUGCUACUUCCACUUGUGUGACGAGAACUCCCUGGUGGUUGCAUUCUUUCCUGACCAGUCUCUUCAUGGCAGUCUACCUGUUUGUCUACGACGUGCACUACUUCUUCACCAAGCUGCAGAUCAUUAGUGUGGCCAUUACCAUCCUCUACUUCACCGUGAUCAUGGUGCUCAAAUUAUUCCUCUUCACAAGGGAGUCGACGACAGAGCCACACUAUGGAAGGCUAGACUCUGUAAAAAGGUUUUUGUAGAGGAACUCAAACAAAUGGGAUAUCUCCUGAUUUUCACUUUAACAAACACAGUGCUGGAGCUUCCGACAGGAUCUGGCCGAUGAAUCGGCUGCUUCCCGCCACCUUUCGCAAUAGGAAUUCUAUCCGCCUUUAAUAAAUGGAAAUUGGUGGUGCUGUGAUAGCAAGCCGAGCCAGUUGAAAAUAUUGAUGCCAGGGAUAUUUUUGAUGUCUGUGUGCUCCUGAAGUACCUUGGCCCUGUGUUCUUUUUCAUUCGUUUUGUGUUUUUAUUCAUUUAUUUCUGCUACCCUCCUACCUGAGCGGCAUGAGGCCUGUGUGGCAUCUCAUUGUUAACAUUAUCCCAGUGUUGAGAUGAAACACCUGUGUGUUGCAAAGCCACAUGCUCUCUAAGUCCUCUCUGCUCUACCAUGAUGUUUUAAUGGGCUGAUGUGGCUAAAACUAACACCGAGAACCAUUGUAAAUGUAUUUUCUCAUCUUUUAUGACAUUAUGUUUACCACUUCAAUGCCCUUACAUCUGUAGUUUGAAGCAUACUUGUUUCACUUUAUUACAUAUUCAACAAGAAACAUAUGACACCACACUUUAGGAUGUCUGUGAUGAUUCUUGCCAUCCAGUUAUGUUUGUCAGCUAUCUCUCCUGGUCAAUUAAGUUGUAUACGUUUUGGUUUUCAGCACUCAAGUCCACUUUACAUUCUUACGUAAUACAAAUCCGUGAUUGACGAGUGCUAAUUUCACUCAACUUUAAAAAAAGAGGAGACAUUUACAGAUCAGUGUCUAGCUCAAAACUAAUGAGACUGUUUCAGCAUGUACAAAGUAACAAUACAGACAUCAUUUUAGCAAAAUUUUAAAUUGGCAACAUAAAAUAAUCCAAAGUGUCUCGUGACUGAAUAUAUAUUUAAGAAACAUUUACAAACAAUACUUUAUACUAUAGACCUGCUAAAUUACAAUAAAAGAAAGAUUUUUUUUUUUUUACAAGACGCAACAAUUGUUCAUGAAGCAAAUAUUGGAUGACUUGGUGAAGGGCUGGUGAAGAAGAUGUCAGUCCCCCCCCCCCCCUUCAUCCGUGGUGCUCGUUCAACAUAGCAUUAGGAGAGGCCUGUGAACAUCAACAGUCAUGAACAUGUCAUUCUGAAAAGCACUUUGCAACUUUUGAAAAGCAACUUUGACAGAUUGUUAUAAUGUGAAAUCUGAUGGGCGACAGCAUCAACCCAUGUUUAAAGAUUUUUUCAGUCAAGCAUGUUGCCAUGAUGUGUAGAAGAUGUUAUUGACAAAGGGGAAUAUUAAUCAUUAAUCAAGGGAAUAUUAAUCACGUGUCAGGUCCCAUUAGGCAAUAUAAUUAGAUGAAUCCAUGAUCUAAAAGUAAAAAUUGAUCCUAGAUCGGCACUUCUACCCUAAGACGCUUAGUGAAUAUGGGUCCAGAUAAGACAAGUUGACCCUAGCCCUCAGCACAUAGAGCUAUUGCAAAAAUAAUUACUGCGGACUGAGACCGGGGGGGUUGGGAGACACUGUGGCCCUGUCCAAUGUCACCCCGGGACAGGGCGAGCCAGGAAGAAGCUUACCCAACUACUCUGAGACAGUGGUUGUGUGGCUAGCAGAGCCAGAGACAGUGGUUGUGUGGCUGGCAGAGGCAGAGUUGUGCUUGGCAGAUCUAAAAGAGAGCCACAACAUUAUUUGAAUGAGAAUUCAGUCCACUUGAUAAUUCAACAGAAUUCAGUAUUCUUCAUGCUGAUGAUUUGUACAACUUGAGACAAGUGGCAAUAGAGUACAAAUAGAUUAAAACAUAAUACGGAAUGAAACACAAAUACAGAUGAUGUGUAUGUGGUGGUUUCAAAUAGUACAAUUACUACAGAUAGCAAGCUCUAGCCAUGCUUUUCCUGAACAUGUUAAUCUGAUAUUAUAGCUAGCUAGUUGAUGUUGUUCUAGCUAGCUCACCCAAAGCAGGCUUUUCUCCUCCUCGCUGGUCUGCAAACUACAUGAUCAUGAUGUUGUGGCUGUUACAUUUAACGGACACUAGAACAACAACAACAACAACUAGCCAGCUAUAUGAGAGACAUUUUCAGGAAAAUCGGAUCCUAAAGCAAGCCAAUAAAAUGUAUAUAAUUGCAUUGGUUUGACAUUGGCAUCUAGCUAGCUCAUCUCGCCUGGGCACUGCAGCAGCCAGAUGAAGCAACUGCAUCUAAUCUUCUUCCUCAUCCCUCUUGUCUUGAUUCUAGAGCUAACUAACAUUAGCCAACUUGAGCAGAGCUCUCAGCUUGCUAACUAGCAAAGCCAACCAACUUCAUGACUCUCCUGUGAGUAUACAAAGAUCAGGUUUACAAUGGAUCAAUUUCUACCAGACCCCUCUCACACGCAGAUGGGAGGAGGGAUUGAUGAGGGGGUUUUGUGACACCUCACUCCCAGCCGUAAAUUGUAUGUAGCAGAGGACUUUACCUUUUAGUGUUGGUGAUUGGAAUUCUCUUUGUUACAGAGACUUUUUGCCACCCAAAAACUCUAACGUCCAAAAGUGAAAAAUGGAACAAUAUUCCUUACAUCCGAAUGUGGGGAAUUAUGAGAGAUGGUCUAUGAAAAACAAAUUUCUAUUUUCUGAUGUCAUUAAAAAUGGUAUUUAAUGUUAUAACGAAAAUAUUGUAACUUGAUCAGUAUUCAUACUGUAUGUCAGGUUUUCAUCCUUUACGUUGUGAGGAAAUAUCAAUGAUGAUAGUAUUUUUGUUAAGAUAUGAAUGUGAUUUUAGUUUUCUAUGGUGAUACUUUUGAUGAUAUGAUGAUAGUUUUGAUGAUACUUUACCCCAGUAAGUAACCACGCCCGAGGGAGUUCAGAGAGCAUGUCAGCAUGAUGGAAACUCCCCCUUUUUUACUAGAGUGUAUCAAGGAUGAGUUGAAAAUUAACAUAUCAGACCAGAGGGACUCAAGAGGCAGCUUAGGUCUACAUUGGUUACAACCCUGAAAAUCAACAAGAGGUGAAGAUGACAAAGUAGCCUCUCUAACAAUCGAUGUUAUGGCUGAGUAGAUAGUCUGUUAAAGGACCUGUUUCCAACCUAUUAUGUUUCUAAUCAAUAACCUAUACCGUGUGUAUCCUGUGUUAUCAUUUAGUUAGUUAGUAAAUUUGUGUGGUACGGAAUGAUAAGUAAAGUUGGGGUUUGUGCAGAUGCAA